rnacentral:pre_miRNA from 14 species
UUUCUGUGGCUUUGUGACCUCAUGCACGACACUUAUUCUCCAAUAGACACAUGAUGAUGAAAGAUCCCACGCAGAGAGACCCUUACUCAAGUCUUGGGAAAUCGCGGACCCCAGACACAGAGAGACCA